GACAGAGGGUGCAAACGUUGUUCGGAAUUACUGGGCGUAAAGCGUGUGUAGGCGGCCACGUAAGUCGGAUGUGAAAGCCCCGGGCUCAACCCGGGAAGUGCACUCGAUACUGCGUGGCUUGAGUACUGGAGAGGUUGGUGGAAUUCUCGGUGUAGAGGUGAAAUUCGUAGAUAUCGAGAGGAACACCGGUGGCGAAGGCGGCCAACUGGACAGAUACUGACGCUGAGACACGAAAGCGUGGGUAGCAAACAGG
rnacentral:rRNA from 2 species